UAGGGAAUCUUCCGCAAUGGGCGAAAGCCUGACGGAGCAACGCCGCGUGAGUGAUGAAGGUCUUCGGAUCGUAAAACUCUGUUAUUAGGGAAGAACAAAUGUGUAAGUAACUAUGCACGUCUUGACGGUACCUAAUCAGAAAGCCACGGCUAACUACGUGCCAGCAGCCGCGGUAAUACGUAGGUGGCAAGCGUUAUCCGGAAUUAUUGGGCGUAAAGCGCGCGUAGGCGGUUUUUUAAGUCUGAUGUGAAAGCCCACGGCUCAACCGUGGAGGGUCAUUGGAAACUGGAAAACUUGAGUGCAGAAGAGGAAAGUGGAAUUCCAUGUGUAGCGGUGAAAUGCGCAGAGAUAUGGAGGAACACCAGUGGCGAAGGCGACUUUCUGGUCUGUAACUGACGCUGAUGUGCGAAAGCGUGUGGAUCAAACAGG
rnacentral:rRNA from 1 species